CUAGAUAUCCAGGGGGGAAAGAAGACCCGGUAGAGCUCCACUUUGGUCUAGUCUUGUAUAGUUCCUGCGGGGGUGUAGACUAGGUGGGAGAGCAAUCGAUUCUGAAAAACCACUACCCUGUUUGGAAUUAUGCUUACCUAUCACAAGGAAUAGGACUAGAUAGAAAGUUUGGCUGGGGCGGCACACCUUCGAAAGAGCAGCGAAGGUGUCCCUAAGUUGAGCUCAGUGAGGACAGAAAUCUCACGUUGAGGAUAAGGCCAAAAGCUCAAUUUACUGUGCCUUUUUGUACUAGGAUCAGUUACGAAAGUAAGGCCUAACGAUCCCUAAAUAGCCUCAGGUGCGUGAGGAUUGGGGUGACAGACAAGUUACCUCCGGGACAACUGGCUUGUGGCUGCUAAGAGAUCAAAUCAACGCAGCUUUUUGAUUCUUCGAUGUCGGCUCUUCCUAUCCUAGUGAUGUACAAGUUGCUAAGGGUCGGAUUGUUCACCCGUAUUAGGGAUCGUGAGCUGGGUUUAGACCGUCGUGAGCCAGGUUUGUUUUAUCCUACUGGAUAUAGCAUCAUGAUAGUAGAUUGAUUUAGUACGAGAGGAACUGUUGAUUAUGGCCUCUGGUUAGCGAUUAUCGGAAACGGUAUGUCGCGCAGCUACGCCGUCUGGGAUAAUGGCUGAAAGCCUCUUAAGCCAGAAGCCCAUCUAGAAAGUGAUGCACGUGAUGUUGGACCGAUACGAAUAAUCAUACUCAAAAGGUCCGCUUCAUAGGUAACCCAAUGUAGAAGACAUUGUGUGAACGAAGGUACUGUAAGCAGUGGAGUGGCAUUACGUCCACGACCUGUUGAGGUUCAGCUUCGCUUCUAGGUUUCC
rnacentral:ncRNA from 1 species